rnacentral:lncRNA from 1 species
GAGAAACCAAGUCUUUUGGAACUUUACCCUCCAUCAGUAAAUUUAGCCUUGUGUUUUCUUGAAAUACAGACUGCAACUCCUUCUGCAAGUCAGCUUGCAUUUUUUUGUAGUUCGCCUUUCCUGCUUCUAUUUGGCUUUGGUAAAGUUGCACAUCCUUUUGCAUUUGUUUGUGAUUAUUUAAGAGUUCAUUCAUCUGCUCCUUCAAUUCCAAAUUUUCUGUUCUGAGAAAAGCAGAUUCUUUCUUGGCAUCCAAGGCUACAGUUUCACUGUCUAAGAGGGAUUUACUCAGCUGCUGAAUUUCCUCGAUUAGUUUAUCAGAAUCUCCCACUGAAAGAGACAUAUCCUUUUUUUCCACAUCCACUUUCUGUAGUUCUUCCACUCGAUUUUGUAAUAUCUUUAUUUUGUCCUCUUUCUCUUUUAGUUGUUCCAGUUUGGACUUUAUUUCUAUCUCAAGUUCUUCAUUGUAGGCUUCAGCAUUUGAAAUAAUAUUCUUUAGGUUGGUAAUUUCAUGCAUUAGUUGUAUCUCAUGAUCUCUUUGUGUUUGUUUUUCC